GGCAGUAUGGUGUAAUGAUGUGUGUGGGAUUUUCUUAUGUGAAUAUAUCUUAAUCCCGAGGUCCUUGUUCGAGUCAAGGUACUGUUC